UGCAGUCGAGGGGCAUCACAGGUAGCAAUACUGGGUGGCGACCGGCAAACGGGUGAGGAACACGUACACAACCUUCCUUUAAGUGGAGGAUAGCCCAGGGAAACUUGGAUUAAUACUUCGUAAGAUGAUGUUGAGGCAUCUCAAUGUUAUUAUAGUGGCAACACGCUUAGAGACGGGUGUGCGUAUGAUUAGAUAGUUGGUGUGGUAACGGCGCACCAAGUCAACGAUCAUUAACUGGUGUGAGAGCACGACCAGUCACACGGGCACUGAGACACGGGCCCGACUCCUACGGGAGGCAGCAGUAAGGAAUAUUGGUCAAUGGAGGGAACUCUGAACCAGCCAUGCCGCGUGGAGGAUGAAGGUCCUCUGGAUUGUAAACUUCUUUUAUCUGGGGCGAAAAAGGGGCUUUUGAGCUCAACUGACGGUACCAGAUGAAUAAGCACCGGCUAACUCCGUGCCAGCGCCNNGGGUAAAA
rnacentral:rRNA from 1 species